CGCAGGACCUUGUGCUUGCCAGGCAGGCACAGUGCCACUGAGCUAAGUCCUGGCCCCAUCACUCAUUUAUCAAGUUAAGAUUUAUUAGGAAUGUGUGCUCAUCUUGCAGAAUGGGUUACUUUGCAAUCCAAGGUUUUACUCUGCAGUACUUUCAGUAGUCAAUUUGUGAUUAAAUUGGGGGAGACUGUGAGGUUCACACACACAAAACUGCUGACUGGAGCUCAGCAAACGGGCCGUAUCUGUCAACGAAACUAAGAACUCGGAAGCUUCUAGAAGUUUCAUGUAACUGAUUCCACCCAGUGAAACAGAAGCAGCAAUGUACGAGCUUCUGGCUGAGGCAGGUAAGCCUAUGGAAAUUGCUCCUGUCUCUGCUGCUUUUUGAGACAGGGUCUUGCUAAAUUACCUGGGCUGGGCUUGAGGUUGCCACUGUCCUGCCUCAGUCUCCCAGAGUUCUGGGAUUACAGAUGCGCAGUGCUAUGCCUGGCUUCAGCCUUUCUCUUGUAGCAAACAAAUCUCAUCACUACAUGGUAGAAGUUGUAGAGAAGACAGGCUUCCCUCAUCACUGUUUCACUAUUGUAUCAGAGCUGCUACCAUUGCAGUUAGGCAAGAAAGUGGUAAAGGUAUUAGGAUUGGAAAGAAGGGAAGACAGCUGACUUUCAGAUAAGCUUAUGUAUGUGGAAAAUCCAAGAGUACAUAAAUUGCUAGAAUCAAAUUUCAGUAAACUUGAUAAAAACAUAACAGAUUAACUGGUUUCUAUAUAUUAAUAAGUUAAAAAUUAAACUUUAUAAUUCUGAGAAGUCAAUGGAGAAAUGACGAUGUGUGAGACCUGAACAGGCAAUUAGAAGAAACUGGCAUGGGGGCCAGGGACUUAGCUCAUUGAUUCCGCUGCCUGCCUUACAAGUGCAAGGACCUGAGUUCGAUCCCCGGUACCAGAAAAAAACUGGCAUGGCCAGUGUACAUGGGAAAAUCCCAUCUCAGUAACAAGGAGAGCAUAAUCAAAAGAUAAACCCCCACAAAUGCAUGACAACUUCAGAUAGGCAAAGAUUGGGAAAACAGUGUCAAACACCAUCAUUGGUAAUGUCAACUGGCACGACGUGGAAAACCGCAAGAUCUUAGAUACUAUGUUGGACAUCACUCACACCUACAAAGGAGGCAGGAAUGCCCACAGCAGUGUGGUUGGUGACAGCCCACAGCUAAGCCCAGGUGUCUGACAAUGGGCACACGGACAAAUUGUCGACUAUUCCUCAAAUGUAGUGUGAUCGCACAGUGGAGUACUGCAGAGCAGUGAGUGAUCACAGCAGUGAGAAAGAUCUCACUGACAUGAAGGUGAGCAACAAGAAGCCAAGUGAUAGGAUUUCCAGUCAUGAAAUUUGCAACUUGCAAGACUAAACCAGGGAUGUUACUUAGGUAGUAAAACUGUAAAGAAAAGCAUAAAAGACCAUAAAAGUUGGGAGUGUGGUCACUUUGGGAAAAGGACAGCCUGAUGGCUAGGAGGGGAUGGAAAACAUCACACAGUGCCGACCCUGAUCAGGGUAGGGGUGCGGUCGGGACUCGGUCACAAUGGUGCAGUACCUAUACCUGAAGUUUGUUUACUGUUCCUAUGUUUGUGUUGUUCUGAAUAAGUAUUGCAUUUCAGAGCUGCCUUUUUUGUUGUUUAGAAUUCUAGAAGUUGCUUCCAGAAUUCAGUUGCCAGCUUUAUUUUCUCUACAAAAUAAUUGUCAUGCUUGCUUUACAGAACAAUGAGAACUAUAUCAUCCAGUACGUUUCAUUUUUUUUCCAUUAGUUGGCAGGAAGUCAGAGUCCAAUGUAGUCCCCCAGUCAAAAACCAAAGUCGUCUCAGACUUCUGGUCUACACAAUUCUCUGCUCCAGAGCUGGGGAUCUAGCUCAGUGGCACCAUGCCUGCCUCGAAAGCACAAGGUCCUGAGUUCGAUCUCCGGUACUGCAGAAAAAAAAAAAAAACUUGGAAUGCACAGUUCUCUGCUCCUUUCCACUAGUGUGCUGUGUAUGUUCGUAACUCUCUGAUCUAGAUGUUUUAAUAUUUUAAUCCCUUUGGAGAAGUAGGUGGGAAAAUUUUAAAACUUGAAACAAAACCUGGAAUGAUGGUUGGGAGUGAAGAUGCGGAUGGGCAGCACCACUCAUCAGUAGGCAGGUCCUGGUUCAGUCCCAGCACCCUCCCACACACACAUGCACAAAGCAAAUACCUGGAACCACCUCUGCCGUGUGGGCUCAAGCAAAUUAAUUCUCUGCCUCUGUCCAUCAGUAAAAUGGGGCAGCAAUGGUGACCACCUCACAGUGUUAGCGGGCUGAGCGUGUUGCAGUGAACAGGAUGCUUUCUGGCACCUCCUGCAUGGAAGCUGUCAUGUCCUGAAAGAGUGAUACCUGAUUACCCUCAUGAAUGGCUGAGUAAUUUAGAAUCAAAAACAUCUGAGAUGAGAACAGAUGCUCUUGGACAAAUCUGAAAAACAGGUAAACAAGAUGCUUUGGGUAUAAUUAAAAAGAAAAUGGAGAUUUAUCUAAUUCAGGUGCCAGAAUGUCUUUGACCUCAACAAGGAUGAUUUAAAUUCAAGGAAUCAGAAAAGCAGGACAAACAGGACUCUGCCCAGGUACCUGCCUGGAUUCUCUGCAGCUACACACACACAGACACACUGUGGAGGGGAUUUCCUGCUGUCCUUCCCUGUGUUCAGAUUGUCACACUACUCAGGCACGGAUGAGGACUGCACACUAGGCCACUCCACAGUACAUUCCGGGGGGCACACAUGUGUGUCUGAUGUGCAAAGCCACUGAGAUCCCAGCCCUCAUGGUGCGCAGUAAAGUGGGAGGCACUGGGCAGCUGUGUUGGACCCUGCAGUAUCCCCAUGUCCAGCGUCGCUGCCUCAGAGGACAGCAAGAGGUGCAGAGAGACCUCACUGUGGAGGAGUCUGGCCUCCCUGCGACACCUCCCAGUGGGCAUCCUCCCUGGAGCUAGGAGCCCAGGAGCCAGGCACUGCUGUUGCUGUGGCUGUGCUGACUCCUCUGGAGCCUUCUGUCUGCUCCUCCAGACAGCAUCAGGGCAAAGCUGGGGAAGCAGUGCCUGUUUCCAGCACCUCAGGUGACCAGGCAGCCCAAGUGCCAGUCACCCUGUCUCUGAGCAGCCUCCACCGGCACCCAUGCAGAUGUCACCAGGAGGGAACACCCUGCCGCCAGGGAGCCAGGUGCCAGCUUGGACUGAACGCUUCCAGAAAGGUCUAAUUUGCCCCCUGGCGGUGGCUGACUUGCUGCUCUGGAGAUUCAGAUGCGAGCCAACUUCAUUCAAGAAUGUUCUCUGUGUAAAAUAUCUGAUAUUUCAACAGCCUCCAAGGAGAAACUAUAUGAAGAGUAAAAGGAGCAGUAAUGACCACAAAACACUUCCUAGUCACCAAGAUUGGUCCGUCUUAAACAAGAAACACUUUUAUCCUAUUUUUGCAAAUGCAAAUGAGAGUGGAAAUUGAACAUGGUCAUUUCUACCAUGCAUGGGUUUUUAGAAUUGCUGUGAAGCGCUACAGUAACCCUAAUGCCUCUGGCUCAUGCAUGGGGGCCUGGCCCCUGCCUCCUUACAGGUCAGAGCUGACGCCUCUCAGGUAGAACCUGGCCCCAAGCUUGGGUUAAGAAAGAGUGGAUUUAGGGUCCAGGCUGAGGCUGCUGCAGAUCUUGGGCACUUCCUCAGCAUGUCCUGGGACCUGGACUGCAGCGUGGAGGCUUCUGGAGGAGAGGUCUUGGCCUGGCUCCGGCUGUGUGAGCACAGCCACUCACUUUGUUUCUGCCUCGGUCUCCUCCUUUGAGACCUAAGUGGACAGAAACAUCUCAGAUUCCCUCCAGGGCUCCUAUCCUGUGACUCUGAGACAUACCACAUAAAACAGGCUGCUCCAGUGGUCAGCGAAACAAGAACGUGCUGUACGGCCUUCUAGUUUCUGAAAAAACAAAAUGGAAUGGAAUCUACCUGAGGAGGCCGCCCCACCUCUACAUCCAGCACAGUAGGAAACGACACAGGUGUUGGGCCAGGCGCACUGAAAAUACCAGUGCUGCUACCGCUGUUGCAAGCUCCUCUCUGGGCUCAGUGGGCUUUUGGGAAUUCACAUGAGCUAGAGA
rnacentral:lncRNA from 1 species